rnacentral:rRNA from 1 species
AUACGAAGGGGGCAAGCGUUGUUCGGAAUAACUGGGCGUAAAGCGCACGUAGGCGGAAUGUUAAGUUAGAGGUGAAAUCCCAGGGCUCAACCCUGGAACGGCCUUUAAUACUGGCAAUCUAGAGACCGAGAGAGGUGAGUGGAAUUCCGAGUGUAGAGGUGAAAUUCGUAGAUAUUAGGAGGAACACCAGUGGCGAAGGCGGCUCACUGGCUCGGUACUGACGCUGAGGUGCGAAAGCGUGGGGAGCAAACAGGAUUAGAAACCCUAGUAGUCC